GAAUUUGAUUGGGGAACUGGGGAGACUCCUAGGAGAUCAGCAAGAAUCAGUGAAAAAGUCAAGUCAACACCUCCUUCAAAAGAGACUGAACCGCCUAAGAAACGAGUCAGGAAAUCGUUGGGUACAAAGAAAGAAAAGGAAAUGGAAACUGGAAAAGAAGAAACAGGGGGAAAGAAAGACGCUGAAAUGCUGGAUGCUGAAGUUGAUGAAAAGAAAAAUGACGGGGGAAAGGAAAUUGAUCUGAGGGAUGAAAAUGAAGUCAAAACUGAAGGUAAAAUACAAGAAGACGCUGAUAAGAAAAGUGACACUGAGAUCAAAUUGGACGGGAAAGAUCCAGAAGAAAAUGUUGUGACUGAAGAAAUGCCUAAGAUAGGAGAAAAAGUCGAAGAAGAACAAGUACCUUCGUCUGGAAAACCAGAUUCCAAACCUGGAAAUGUUGGGGUAGAUGAUGAGACACAGGAUAAGCCAGAAAGCAUCACUGAAGCGGCCAAUGGAGCUGAAACUAAUGACGUCCAAGAGAGUAGUGGCAUAUUUAAUUUGCAGGUGAAUAUAGAAG
rnacentral:lncRNA from 1 species